CACCGGCAGCCCUAGUGGUGGCCGCUUUUAUUGGGCCUAAAGCGUCCGUAGCCGGACAGGCGAGUCUUUGGGUAAAUCCUACGUCUUAAGCGUGGGAAUUCUAAAGAUACUACCUGUCUUGAGGCCGGGAGAGGCUGGAGGUACUCCUGGGGUAGGGGUAAAAUCCUAUAAUCCUGGGGGGACCACCGAUGGCGAAGGCAUCCAGCUGGAACGGGCCUGACGGUGAGGGACGAAACCCAGGGGAGCGAGC
rnacentral:rRNA from 1 species